rnacentral:rRNA from 1 species
GCUUGUCUCAAAGAUUAAGCCAUGCAUGUCUAAGUAUAAGCACUUUAUACUGUGAAACUGCGAAUGGCUCAUUAAAUCAGUUAUCGUUUAUUUGAUAGUACCUUACUACAUGGAUACCUGUGGUAAUUCUAGAGCUAAUACAUGCUAAAAACCCCGACUUCAGGAAGGGGUGUAUUUAUUAGAUGGAAACCAAUGCGGGGCAACCCGGAUUCUGGUGAUUCAUAAUAACUUUCGGAUCGAUCCUCGGAUCGAUGCAUCAUUCAAGUUUCUGCCCUAUCAGCUUUGGAUGGUAGGGUAUUGGCCUACCAUGGCUUUAACGGGUAACGGAGAAUUAGGGUUCGAUUCCGGAGAGGGAGCCUGAGAAAUGGCUACCACAUCCAAGGAAGGCAGCAGG